GUGGGGAAUAUUGGACAAUGGGCGAAAGCCUGAUCCAGCCAUGCCGCGUGUGUGAAGAAGGUCUUCGGAUUGUAAAGCACUUUAAGUUGGGAGGAAGGGCAGUAAGUUAAUACCUUGCUGUUUUGACGUUACCGACAGAAUAAGCACCGGCUAACUUCGUGCCAGCAGCCGCGGUAAUACGAAGGGUGCAAGCGUUAAUCGGAAUUACUGGGCGUAAAGCGCGCGUAGGUUGUUUUGUAAGUUGGAGGUGAAAUCCCCGGGCUCAACCUGGGAACUGCCUCCAAAACUGCAUGACUAGAGUACGGUAGAGGGUAGUGGAAUUUCCUGUGUAGCGGUGAAAUGCGUAGAUAUAGGAAGGAACACCAGUGGCGAAGGCGACUACCUGGACUGAUACUGACACUGAGGUGCGAAAGCGUGGGGAGCAAACAGGAUUAGAUACCCCAGUAGUCC
rnacentral:rRNA from 1 species